rnacentral:rRNA from 1 species
CCUACGGGAGGCAGCAGUGGGGAAUCUUGCGCAAUGGGCGAAAGCCUGACGCAGCGACGCCGCGUGAGCGAAGAAGGCCUUCGGGUCGUAAAGCUCGAUAGUGUGGGAAGAAUAGAUGACGGUACCACACGAAAGCCCCGGCUAACUACGUGCCAGCAGCCGCGGUAAU